UUAACAAGAUCCAAGGGUUGUGAAUGCUUACAGAUAGAAAUCAUUUACACUUCUACAUAGCAUAUACGUGUCAUUUAAGAAUCUAAAUGCAUACACAUAUAUAAAUAUGGCUUAAUUGUUAUCAAGGCAUAACUACUUUAAAUCUUCUUAUGACUAAAGACAUGGUUGGUCAUCCAAGUCAAUGAUCCAGACCAUUCAUGAAGUUCUACAUAUCUUAAAGAUACAAGGACGUAAGUGGUUGGAAAAAUUGCUAUUAUACAUCAAACAAAUCACCUAUUAAAAACCCAUCCAUUUCAUGAUCAUCUGGCACACAGGUGAUACAUCGCCAAAACCUUUGAAAUUUUGUUUUAGACACUCCUGAUAGAUCUUGAAAGGAAUGGAUUACCGAUUAGAAUGUCCAUUGCAUAGUAUAAAUAGGCAUAACUGAGUUUGUUAUGCCCUAUGAAUAUUAAAGCAAGUAAAAUGAUCAAAAGAUGGCAAAAGGUUGGCCUAUCAAAUGUCAGAGCCAAUAGAACUACAACACUUUUUCUUGGUCUUGACAUGGCAAGCCUUAUAGGCAAGGCGGGCAAAUACAUAUCCGCCAUGGCAAUAGAUGGUACAAGAAUAUAC
rnacentral:lncRNA from 1 species